rnacentral:rRNA from 1 species
UACAGAGGUCUCAAGCGUUGUUCGGAUUCAUUGGGCGUAAAGGGUGCGUAGGCGGCGUGGUAAGUCGGGUGUGAAAUCUCGGAGCUUAACUCCGAAACUGCAUUCGAUACUGCCGUGCUUGAGGACUGGAGAGGAGACUGGAAUUUACGGUGUAGCGGUGAAAUGCGUAGAUAUCGUAAGGAAGACCAGUGGCGAAGGCGGGUCUCUGGACAGUUCCUGACGCUGAGGCACGAAGGCCAGGGGGAGCAAACGGGG